UAUCGUAUCGAGUCGCAAAAGUGCAUUACAAAGUUAAUUUCAUUAAUAAUAUAUUGUACUUUAUAAUACAAAUAGUUUGUUUUUAUUAAAUUCUUUUUGAUAUGUUUAAGGAAAAGUACAUAUCGUCGGUGACACUGCAAAACGGUCUAUGUCUAUUACUACCCUUGACACUUAGAUGGUCUCUUACGUGCACCGGAAUGCAUCUGAAAAUCGUCACACCCUAAUAAAGGAAUGACAAACCUGUCUACCUUUGGCUGAUGAAGAUGAACGGUUGCCAGAAGCGAUAAGAUACAGAUAACACAUCAAUUAAGCACCAGAGGUAAUAAGUGGCAUAGAACGUUUUGCAGUAUCACCGACGAUAUGGGCAUUUCCAAUCUGGCGUGACGUGAAAAAUGUUAAAAAAUUUAAGGAAAACGUCAAUAUCUGAAAACUCUUGCACUUCGUCAACAAUAUUUGUAGUAAUAUUUGAAAUAUUUGAGGUUAAUUUUCCGAGAUCAAAAAUGUAAAAAUCAUUCCUGCUUUUUUAUCAGCCGAAGUAUCUGUCGUAACGUUACAAGACAUUGCGCAAGUGUAAUAUGAAUUUUAUGUCGAAUAUAUUUUUUAUUUUGACUUCAGCGCACCCUAGCGAUUCCAGUUAUUGCAAAUCUAUGUCGUCGCUCAACUGUGACGUUUUUCUUGUGAUUUCAAUCUUGAAAUACUCUCUCAAGAAAAAAGCUUUUAAACUUUCCCACUGUGAGGUGAAUAUUUGUAUCAAACUCACAAAAUAAAAAAAGAACAAAAAAUGGAGCAAAUAAACAAAAACAAAUAUGAAAGGACAACGCAAGAGCAGCUUCAAUAUUUUGUAAGUUUCUGCAAGCAGCAUCCCGAACUGCAACCAGGGAAAAUAAGCCACAUUCACUACGCGCUGUGCAGAACUUGUUUCAGAAACUGGCGGAGCACCUGAACGCGAUGAGAGGACCAACAAGGGCAGCGUCGAAGUGGAAAGAGGAAACUAUAGGAUACGCACGUAAAUGCAAAAUACGAGCGAAUAAAUACUUGUGCCGGCAGGCAAGUCAAAUAUAUAUUCAUAAAAUAACAAUGGACACCGCCAAUUUUUGGAUCGUUAAUAACUGUUAUUCAUUGAACGCAUUGCGAAAUGAGAAACAUGUUGAUUUGUUUUAGUUAUGGGAACCAAUUUAUGGCGUUAUUAUUCAAGAAAAGAUGGUACGGUUUUAAUAAAAUAUUUUAUUCAUUUCAGAGUUUAUCACACUGGAAGUGCCAGAUUCGCUCUCGUGCUCACAAAGCAAAAGCCUAAUUGCAAAGCACUGGGGGGGCCCCGAACCCCCGAUAUAAUGGAGUUUGAACAUCAGGCAAUUGAAACAUUUGGUACAGCAGUAGUGGAUGGAUUGCCUGAACUCGUGAAUAUGGGUUUUGAGGAAAGCUCAUGUUUGCAAGAUGUGGUGGUGGUUAGUGGCGCUGAGAACUACAUUGAAUUUUCCUCUGAUGUGAUUAUGAUACCACUUUCCAAACAUAUCUAAUGAGAAUUCAAAUUUGUUCUCAGGACCGCAUACCCACCUCAAUCCGAUAUCUCUGCUCGCAACUUCACGAAAAAUAACAUUGGAGGCGGUGUAUAAUGUUGCUCUGGAAGACAUGAGAGUACGUCAAUAGCGGGAUGAGCUUGAAAUUGCUCAGCAGGGGGCAUUGACUGUAGCAAUUACAAAAUUAACAGAAACCGUAGACAAGUUUUGUGAAAAAUUUAAUAACAUGUAAACGUAAAAACAAUUCCGCUAACUUAUG